rnacentral:rRNA from 1 species
CCUACGGGGGGCAGCAGUGGGGAAUAUUGGACAAUGGGGGCAACCCUGAUCCAGCCACGCCGCGUGUGUGAAGAAGGCCCUCGGGUUGUAAAGCACUUUCAGUGAGGAAGAACGCCUGGUGGUUAAUACCCAUCAGGAAAGACAUCACUCACAGAAGAAGCACCGUCUAACUCCGUGCCAGCAGCCGCGGUAAUACGGAGGGUGCGAGCGUUAAUCGGAAUUACUGGGCGUAAAGCGCGCGUAGGUGGCUUGAUAAGCCGGUUGUGAAAGCCCCGGGCUCAACCUGGGAACGGCAUCCGGAACUGUCAAGCUAGAGUGCAGGAGAGGAAGGUAGAAUUCCCGGUGUAGCGGUGAAAUGCGUAGAGAUCGGGAGGAAUACCAGUGGCGAAGGCGGCCUUCUGGACUGACACUGACACUGAGGUGCGAAAUCGUGGGUAGCAAACAGGAUUAGAUACCCCAGUAGUC